rnacentral:lncRNA from 1 species
CAGGCUCACAGUGUUCAGCUACCAAAUUUUCCAGCAGAGGAGCCAAUGAUCAUCAGUAUGCUUGCUCCCUUGGGCUCCUAAACAGGAAUUCUGAUGGAUUAAUCAAAGGUGUUUUUCUUCAUCUAAAGAUGCAGCCAUUAUGAGAGUUCCCAGUCAUGCCUGCUUCUGCAAGGAGUGGAAGGAAGUUACUCUCACCUGGCUGACUGGGUAGGGAAAGAUAUAGGCUAGAAGCAGCUGUUUCCAAUCCUGUGAUUCAUACUACUAAGGAAGAGACACUGGAAUGGCUUGCCAUUUCCUUCUUCAACUCAAUUUAUAAAUGAGGAACUGAGGCAAACAGGAUUAAGUGACUUGACCAGCUCACACAACAAGAGAUACCCAUUAAACACCUGCUAUUUGAAGGGCAUGGUAUGAGCUGCUGGGGAAUCAAGCCAAAUACCCAAACUGAAUAUCCCUGCUCUACAAGAGAUUCCAUUUGACUGACGAAUACAACAUAUAUGAAAAUAACUCAAUUUGAGGUGAGUUA